AUGCGCUUGUUAUUUUUAUCACACUGUAAUCAAGCUUCUAUUGUUAUAGCAAUACGAAAUCCUAUGCAUCAAGCUUCUGUUCUUAUAGCAAUUACAGUUUUGAUACCUCUGUUUCUUUAUAUCAUCUUGUUGGGUUUCUGUUUCUCUUCAUAUAGGAUACAGAUAUAUGUGAUACUCAUGUGGUCCUUUCGCUGGAAACUUGCUAAUCUUAGGGGUGCUGCUACUGGUGUAAAAACCAUCUUAUCAAAAGAACUAAAGUACUCCCUCCGUUCCAAAAUAGAUGAACCAACUUUGUACUAG
rnacentral:rRNA from 1 species